GAUGAACGCUGGCGGCGUGCCUAAUACAUGCAAGUAGAACGCUGAAGCUUGGUGCUUGCACCGAGCGGAUGAGUUGCGAACGGGUGAGUAACGCGUAGGUAACCUGCCUGGUAGCGGGGGAUAACUAUUGGAAACGAUAGCUAAUACCGCAUAACAGUAGAUGUUGCAUGACAUUUACUUGAAAGGGGCAAUUGCUCCACUACCAGAUGGACCUGCGUUGUAUUAGCUAGUUGGUGAGGUAACGGCUCACCAAGGCGACGAUACAUAGCCGACCUGAGAGGGUGAUCGGCCACACUGGGACUGAGACACGGCCCAGACUCCUACGGGAGGCAGCAGUAGGGAAUCUUCGGCAAUGGACGGAAGUCUGACCGAGCAACGCCGCGUGAGUGAAGAAGGUUUUCGGAUCGUAAAGCUCUGUUGUAAGAGAAGAACGAGUGUGAGAGUGGAAAGUUCACACUGUGACGGUAUCUUACCAGAAAAGGCGGCUA
rnacentral:rRNA from 1 species